UGGUCUUUCUUCUUGAAUGGCUCUAACAGGUGAGUCACCAGCCAAGGAAUCGUCUUCACACUGGGGCUGUUUCCAAAGACCACUCCAUUCCCAUGGUAACUUGCCGGGACAUUGACUGCUCCCCGUAAUACCCUAGACACAAGGAGGAUGACUGAAAAUUGUAAAAUGAGUGAAGAUAUUUGAGCCACAGGUGCCGAAGUGGCUAGGGGUUUCCUGUACAACUGAAUUUGGAGAUGCCUUCACACUGGGAAGCCAUAGAAGAAUGCUGGUUCCUGCUCAACAAUCAGAAGAAACGGUCACUGUAAAAUUAGUGUCAGAGUGGGCCCUGCCACCUUUGCAAUUUAAAACAAGGCAACAGUGGACUGUGCCAUUUUCCCAGUUAUGAGCUCUCGGUUUGAGCUGAUCAAUUCCAUGCAAAAAAGAGAGUGUCAGAGAGGUGUGUGCUAUUGGAAGGUGGGAGCUGAUGGGAAGAGGUGUGUCAUGGGAAGAGAUGUGUCACUGGGGUCAUGACCUGGAAGAGUAUAUUCCAGUUUCCUGUUCCUCCACUUGCUCCUUCUUUGUGGACAUCAUGACUAGAGUGGUUUUUCUGGAGCACAUUCUUCCACCAUGGUAUUUCUGUGUUUGAAACUAUGGACUGUGGAUGAAAACUUCUGAAGCAGUGAGUCAAAGUAAACUUCUCUUUAAAUUGUAGAUGGUGGAUAUCUUGUCUCAGAUAAGACAAGUAACCAGGAAAGAAUUGAGGACAGUAGAGAUAACACCAGAGUAUGUACUGUUUGUUCUAAAACUAAUGCUUUUGAGGUCCUUCUAUCCUCUGCUUCCUCACUUUGUUCUUCCAUCAGAGACAAUCAGUUUGUUGAUUAUUAUUGUUUUAUUCUCUUGGUUUUAUAUUUGUUUUUCUCUGUGUAU